rnacentral:rRNA from 1 species
GACGAACGCUGGCGGCGUGCCUAAUACAUGCAAGUCGAACGCAGUGGGGACGGGUGAGUAACACGUGGGUAACCUCCCAUCAGAGGGGAUAACACUUGGAAACAGGUGCUAAACCGAUACUGAUGGAUGGCCCCGCGGUGCAUGAGCUAGUUGGUGAGGUAACGGCUCACCAAGGCCACGAUGGUGAGCCGACCUGAUAUGGUGGUCGGCCAGACUGGGACUUAGACACGGCCCAGACUCCUACAGUAGGCAGCAGUAGGGAAUCUUCUGCAAUGGACGAAAGUCUGACCGAGCAACGCCGCGGGAGUGAAGAAGGUUUUCGGAUCGUAAAACUCUGUUGUUAGAGAAGCGGUAUCUAACCAGAAAGCCACGGCUAACUACGUGCCAGCAGCCGCGGUAAUUC